AAUAAAGUGUCUGAAAAAAAGAGUUAUUUUGAUAGAAUAAAACAAGUGCUCAACACACCUUUAUUA
rnacentral:tRNA from 1 species